UUAGCAAUGCCAAGAGAGG
rnacentral:piRNA from 1 species